CAGCGGAGCAUCAUCUGAUACAGCGCCGGAAGAUGAGAGGAGAGGAUGGCGCAAAGAGACCAGGCAGGUUCUGCUCUGCUGUCCACAGGGUCACUGGGAGUCAGAAUCCGCACCAUGGCACUAACGACAAAGUGUAUCUCCCAGAAGAGCUUUAUUCACUUUACAAAUUCAGAGAUAAGUUCCUGCAAGUAAGAACUGGUGAUGCGCAUUUUUUUCCCUCAACCACAGAACAGGAAAACUGCAGCACCAAUGCAAGGUUCUAAUACACAGUCAAGGAAAUGCCACAGCCUGUCGUUGCUCCCCCAGAGUGAGCAGCUUCCCCUGGGAUGGCGUCCCUGGGCUUCACGGCACAGUUCCUACUCUGCGGCGCUACGUAGAAGUGGGAAAGAGAAAUCCUGGACACUUGAUCUGUCUCGAUUUUGCAAAGGCAUUUUGCAGAGUCGCUAAUGACGUCUGCAGGGGACUGAAUGUGGCCUCCGCAGAUAUCGGGCUCUAAUCCCUGAAAGCUGGGAGUGUGCUGCCGACAGCGGUGCAUAAAUGGUCAAGUCUUGGCGGAGGUCAUUAAGUUAAGCAUCUUGAGUUGGGGAGAUUAUCCUGGAUUAUCCAGCUGGGCCCUAAAUGCCAUCCCAUGUAUCCUUCAAGGGCGGGGCAGAGGGAGACUUUGCAAUGACACGCCCAGGGGAGAAGGCAACGUAAAGAUGGAGUGGAGGAAGGUUUGAAGAUGCUAGCCUCGAAGACUGAGCGACGCAGCCACGAGCCAGGGAACACCAGCAGCCGCCAGAAGCUGGAAAAGGCAAGGAACAGAUCCUCCCUUGGGCUUCUGGGGGGAAUGUGGCCUGUUGGCACCUGGACUUCAGCCCAGUGAAACUGAGGUUGGACUUCCGGCUUCCAGAAUUGCGAGAGAAUAAAUUUUUGUUAUUUUAAGCCUCAAACUUGUGGAAAUUUGUUACAGCAGCCCCAGGAAACUGAUACAGCAUCCUUGUGGAUAAAAUAGAGACAUGGAUCUAGAAGACAGUUCAGGUUUAGAAGAAAGAUAGCUAACACUUGUACGACGUUUGGCCCAGUGCCCGGUGCAGAUGAAGAGCUCAACAGAAGGCAAUCUGAUCUCCUGUUAUGACCCAGUUGUUUGUUAGAGCCAUGUUGUGUCCUGAGCAACCCUCCAGCUCCUGGACUGGGCCCUGGUCUCCAGGAGGCUGGCGCUGAGGUGGAGAUGCUGGACUCCUGUGUUCCCAGGGUGGCCCCCAAGUCAACCCCGUUACGUAAGACAGCGCUUCUCAGCCGAUGCGUGGGGUUCACUGCGCCGCCUCAAACGCUUCCCCAGCGUGCUGCCAAAUUUUGGCAAUGUGUGAAACAUUUCUUUUUUAGCCUCUCUGUUGUUAUGCAAUUCCAGAGAGCGAGAUUGCUAAACCGAGCACCACGUGAUGUGGUGCACGGCCAGAGCCCAGCCUGUGGCAGGUCAGAGGUCAGGGGUCAAAGGUGGAAACUGAUGGCAAGCUGGUGUGAAGGAAAUGAGCACACGCGAGAACUUGGCCUUCUGAUUGUAUCAUGGAAAUAAAGUCAGCGAUGCAAAAGGGGACCAGGUGAAUCCCAGGAUAACUGAGGAGGCCAUUUCAACCUUUCAAGUGUGUAGCCCCGAAUCUGGUAUUCCACAGAAGGUUGGCAAUCACGGACACAGGGAAUCUGAGAAAGUCUCUAUUCCUUGCAAGCCUAACUAGUGGAAUCUGCCUUCCAUAGUUAUUGGAAGGGUCGCUGUGUGCAAUGGCUAAUUAUAAUCACAGCUGGCAAGGGCUCCAGCCAGGCAGAGGAAUCAUUCUUAUUCUCUGGUACUAGAGGGAGGGCAUAGCCCAGCGUUCGGGAGUUAGAUGGAGCAGGUUUUGCUGAGAAUAAGCAAAAAUGUCCUAACAGUGCAAUAGGGGAGGUUUGGGGAACAGCAAAUGCUCUCUCUCUCUUUCAGCAGAGGCGGCAAGACAGUUCAUCCAAUGUUUUAGCAGAGAUUCCUGCAUUGGGCGGCAGGUUGGAUGAAAUGCCUCUCAAGCAAGGUCUUUGCAAAGAACCCCAAAUUGUAAGUUUGGGUGUUGACAGAGCUUCCAGUAAGGGGCUGGACUCUACGCUUCUUAUCUAUGCGAAUCUGAGCCUCCCAACGUCAGCGCGUACCCUGAUGUGUAAGCUGUUGGAGCACACAUUCACGUUGAUGCUCGUGGACUUGCUCAGAACUCUUGAGACAGUAAAAUCAUUUCCCCUGUGGGGUUGUUUUCUUUUAGUCCUUCAGCUGACAGCGGUUGUAAAGAGCCUUUCUGGCUAGCAACAAAAUACCUCUCUAAGCUUUAGAAGAGAAGGAAUCUGCAUAAAACGUUCUCCCACACUUAUUGCUUUAAUUUCAAACUAGAGGUACCGAUCUUUUCAUAAGAACUUCCUGGCCGCUCCUCCCACGAAUGGUGUGUGUAUGGUGAAGACUACGUGUGCGGCAUUAAGGAUGGUGUUUAACAGCAUUUGGGCUGUUUAGAAUCUGCCCUGCAGACUGAAAUGAUACGUCCGGCUUUGUUUCCAGGGUUACAGAAACUUCUUUGGUCUAUUUCCAUGACUGUGUCCAGUAGAAAUGCACCACUGUCUGCUCGUCAGAAGGAGCAUCUGUGACCACCCCCGGGAUAACCGAGGCAUCCGUGGUGUCUCUAGUUGGAGUUGGCUUGGCUUGAGCCUUAGGGUAGCUGUCUGUGCCCGGAGGUACGACAACAAGAGACAGUGAUUCCAGAGGGCGGAGAGGAGGAAAGGAGCGGCAAGGAGCAGGUGGAGGGGAGGCUGGAUGCCCCCUGCCCCCAGGGGCGCAGCCUCGCCCCUGCUUAACCAGGUGUCGACUCCCGUACUUGGAGAAGGAAGAAGACUGUGUCCUAUUUGUUCAUGUGAAUUUACGUAAGAAACACAGCCUCAGUCGUUAGGCCUCGGGGCUAAUUUGUCUAUGUACUGCUUCAGAGUUGAGCUCGUGGGUUCAUUUAGUUUGGAACUUUGAAGGAUGAGGCUCUCUCUCUCGAGGAGCUGAGGAAGCUUGCUCCGGUUGCAUCAAAGAUGCUUUGUCCUCACCUUCUUCCCUCCUUUGAGACUCCCCUCCUUGCUUUGGCACGGGGUGGGAGUCGGGCGUGGGGGGGGUGGGGGGAGCUGAGAGCAUUCCUACUCAGUUUCCCGUGCAAAGAGCUGCUCAUGAGUUUGUCCCCUCACACAGACUGGAGGAGACCGGAGUUUCCCAGAAUGCUGCUUGCCGUUCCGUCUUAAUAAUCAGGCAGGGAUAAUAGCUGACAUCGAUCGCAGGCCAUUCUAAGCACUUCGCAUGUACAGCAAUAGCAAUAGCUAACAGUUAAUGUGGUGCUUACUCUGUGCCGAGCGCAGUUUAUUUUGUGUAUAUAUUAAUUUACGUUAUCCCCUAGUCCUCCUCUGAAGUAGUGACUACCGGCAUCCUCCAGGUACAGAUGAAGAACUGAGCUCAGAAAGCUUCAACAACUUGCUCAGGGUCAUUCUGCUAGAGUUAGGGCCCGGAUUCAAACUAAGAUUGUUGGGCUCUGUGUUCUUAACUAGUAUCCUCCCCUACCUCGCCAGGUUAUCACACCCAUUUUACAGAUAAGGAAACUGAGGCACAGUGAGAGGAAGUAGGCCUGGAUUCAAAUGGGGGCAAGAGACUCUGGAGCUGGGGUCUUCUCUGCUACGUCAUGUGACCUCCUGCAGGGACGUGUUCCAGUCUCACACUUCACACGGGGAGUGACCUGAGGACCCCUGCGAUGGUGUAACUCAUCUGGAUCAGCGAGGGACGCGGCACAGAGCGCAAGCCCCGUCAGUCCUGGUGUUGCUUCUGGGCCUGGAGCGGAGCGCGGGGCGCCGCCCUGAGGGCCGGAGUGCGGCUCUGGUGCCAGGAGCAGAGCCCACCUGUGCGGUCCCUGCUUCCCGACCUCUCCUUCAUUUCACCCAGGGCUGUUGGUCAGGAUGUCCUGGGACCCGCAGGGGACUUUGAAGCAUCAGACACCACAAUCAUAGCCCCACCAGUUAAAUGAGGGAACGAGCAAGGGGAGACAUCAUUCAGAAUGUGACUUAUUUGUUUAUCCAUGCCCUGUUCCCUAAGGAUUCAUGACCGUGUACAGAAAUGCCUUCACUCUGGGAGAGGGCAUCCGUUAGGCGUGUGUGACAGCGGCUGGAAUCCCAGCUCCCUCACUCCCCUUCCCGGGGAACCUGGACGGUCCCAUCAUCUUACUGCUCCCUGGCUUCCUUACCUCUAAACUGGAAACGAUGUCUUCCUGGUGGGCCUGGGCGAACAUGGACGACAGUUCCCGUCAGGUUCCUAGUGCAGGGCUGGCCCGCAGUAAGUGCUUGGUGGUUUACUGUUAUUACUGCAAGGUGGAGAGCGACGCAGCAUGCGCCAAACCAAGGGGAGGAGCCAUAAACCGAAGCCGGAUGUGAGGCCCGCAUGAAAACACCUAUGGGCCGGCCCCAUGCACCCUCUCAGGCUGGUGUGAAGAGGAACCUGAUUACUGAAUCAUUCCCAGAGCUUCUAAGAGGAAAACAGUGCUCAGGAGAGGCAGGAUGCCAGGCUGGGCGGGAAGAAAGAGCUCUGUAGGGUCCUUCUAAGGAGGAUGCUGCAGUGUUGCAAAUGGUGUCCACAACCACUUUAGAGUAAACCCAGUGACUGGGGCCACCAGCUGUCCCUAAGAGAGGCUAGUGGCAGCAAACCACAGCGUAGUCCAAUAGAAAUGUUCCACCAAAAGCCGGUGUAAUGGAGUCCACGCAUAGUCUGCUCGGCUGCUGUGACUCCACCAGGGGUGACAAUAGGUCAUGCUUCCUGGGCACUGUGAGGAGCCAGCGAGAGGCUGAGCCCUUGCCUGUGCCACCUCAUUAAGUCUUACAGCAACCAUGUGAGGCUGGGAAGGUGGUCCUCCCCAUUUUGCAGAUGAGUAAAUGGAGGACCGGAAAACAGGGUGAGAAAGCUGCCCGGGGUCAUUGAGUUCGUGAGCCCGAGCCAGACGUCCUGCUCAGGCAGGUGGCUCGGCGCCAGUACCACGACCCUCUGUCGCUUUGGAAAACCGAUUGGACUCAGCAUCCUUGUGACGGUCCUUGCCAGCUGAGCCUUUGAGGAAUCCCGGGCGGCAGUGAGUUCGAGAAAAUGUCCAGCCCCUGCCGAGUUCCCCAGGGGCAGUGUUUUGCUCAGGGUCUUGAUCCAAAGGCGCUCGUGGCCUCGGCUCAGAAAGGGGAGGGCAAGCAGGGAGCAGGGCCAAGUCCUGCCUUAGAAGUGCAUCUUCGGUCCACUGUCACACGCAGACACAUGGGUGACGGAAGACCCGAAGUGCUCCACGCAGCACGGCUGCAGUAAUUUGAGUCUGAAAAAGUGUCAAGGCAGUUGCACCCCUGUUUUGGCUAUUUCACAAAAAAAUGAGUAUAUGGCACUCAUAGGAUACUCAGCGUGCAUUCCUUUUAUUGUGAUUUUUGCCUAAUGUAUUGGACCCUCUAAAUUGUCUGGCAGGAAACACUCUCAAGGACUCCCUACCCUGUGACCCCCAUCACAGUAGAAGGUUCCAGAAAGGCCAGAUGCAGCAUUGUGCUGUUUCUGCCUGGGGGACGUUGCGUGGUUGUCAUUGUGACACGAGCAGGACUCGAGCGGUGCAGCCUUCUGGGCUCCCGUUCUUCUGCGGACCCUGAUGGAUGGCAGAGCCCCACCUCCCCUUCUGUGAGAGCCAGGCCCUCCUCGGGGUUUCCCAAGAUGGUCUCUGAGGACUUGUGGUGUCCAGCUCUGCCCGCCACCCCUGUCCGGGCCUGUCAGGUCCUGGUGGGGUCUGCUCUUUCGCUGCCUUUGUCACCGCCUGCUGUGCAGGGCCCCAGUUCCCUCUCCUUUGUGUCUGGGGCUGGGGAGGCAGCCCACUUGUGCUCACAGUUGGGUCUAACGUGGAGGAAUUGGAGCACAGCACAGCAGAGGCCAUAGCAGAAAGCCACAUGUUGUGUCCCUUAUCGGGAUCGCGCACCAUGCUCCCUCAAGCCCUGGCUCCCCGUUAUCCUCCUGAGUCUGCUCUUCCCCCCACUUACCGCCUCCUCCAAUCCCCAGACUCAGCUGCUUCCUUACGGAGGAGCAGAGUGUGGCUCAGUCUUCGUCUUCCCCUGGGCUUCCCAGCCGAGCCCGGAGCUUGCCUUUCUCACCCUCCAAGUCCCAUCGAGGCUCACGUGGUGGGGUUCUUCCCUGUGCGAUAAUUUACCUCCUAAUACGUGAAAGUGGACACACCCCUGGUUUUAAAUAGACCUCCCCUCCCACCCUCCCCCCCCCCGCCCCAUCAUCUGUAUCAGCGGUUACAGAAUAGUUGGGAAUUAAAUUUUUGUGAGGCAAGACAAAAUACCACAUAAUAAAAAUGACCGGAAAUGAGCUGUCAAGCCAUGAAAAGACAAGGAGGAAACUUAAAUGCGUCUUACUGAGUGAAAGAAGCCAGUCUGAAAUGGUUUCGUACUGUGUGGUUCCAGCUACAUGACGUUCUGGAAAAGGCAGAACUACAGAGACAGUAAAACGAUGUGUGGUUGCCAGGAGCUGGGGGAGAGGGGGAAAAACAGGUGGAGCACAGAGGGUUUUUAAGGCAGUGAAACGAAUCUAUAUGAUCCCAUAAUGGUGGGUAUGUGUCCUUAUACGUUGUUCAAACCCAUUGAAUGGACAACACCAAGAGUGAGCCGUGACGUAAACUGUGGACUCUGGGUGACUGACGUGUCGAUGUGGGUUCACUGAUUGUCAUAAAUGCGCCACCCUGGUGGAGGUGUUGAGAAUGGGGGAGGCUGUGUGUGUGAGGGGGGCAGGAAGUAUAUUGGGAAAUCACUAUACUCUCUGCCCGAUUUUGCUUUGAACCUAAAACUGCUCUAAAAAUAAAGUCUGCUUUUAAAAAUGACCGGAAGCAGGAGAUGGCUGCGCUGUGGUUGCGUAAGGAACAGCGGUGUUGAAAAUAAAGCAGGAGAAGAGGAGACGGCUGUUGGCUGGGGUGGCCCCACCAGGCUUCCUGGAGGAGAGGUGAAGGCUGGAUUGAGUGAUGAGGGGUGAACGGGAUUGGAUGAAUGGAGAGUGAGUAGGCGGGCGCCAGAGGGAGGAGGAGCAGCCUGAGCAGAGGCAUGGAGGUGGCAUGACGCGUGAGCCAAAGGACUGAGCGGUCAGCAGGAGUCCAGGCUGGUGGGACGAGCAGGGAUCCUGCCCAGGUGAGAAGGAGAAGCAGAAAGCCAGCUGUGGAGACCCUGCCAGUUGGUUCCUGGUAACAUUUUGAAGGGAUCGUGUUGAUUUCUGGUCCCUGUGUACGAGACACUCAAGAACGUAAACUGCUAGAACGCAGCUCUCUAAUUACGUCUAUUUCUUACAAUGUGUGUUUGUUGAUUACCGGGAGCUGUGAGACUUGAAGGUGUCUUGUGCACCAGCUGAACUCAGUGACUCUAGCAUCUCGGGUCCGGACAGACAGGGAGGCUGCCCAGCGCUGGACCGCGCUGCUCCAAAGGUGCUUCGUCCGCAGUGUGGGCAGCCUUGACUGAGAGAAGGCAGCAAAACGCUUAGCGUUCGAACCCCACGCCAGUGUCACAUACACCAGUGCGUCUCAAACUUCAGCCUGUGUCUGAGCACCUGGAGGAAUGGUUACAACUCAGAGUUUUAUAACUCCCUACCCGCUGAGAUUUGGAUUCAGUACAUCUGAGGCAGAGGUGGAGAAUUUGCAUUUCUAGCAAGUUCCUUGGUGAUGCUGACGCUGCUGGUGGGAGAUCACACUUGGAGAAGCACCGGUCUACUCCAGAGCCCCAUGGUUAACUUAUAAAGCUUUUCCUCUCCAGUUCUUGUGUCUGGAAAGGUGUGCCCUAGGGAACUUCAGAUUUGGGAAGAAGAGUGAAUGGAAGUCAAAAGAUGGAAACAACCCAAAUGUCCAUCGACAGAUGAAUGUCAAAUAAAAUGUGGUAUAUCCAUCCAAUGGAAUAUUGUUCACCCAUAAAAAGAAAUGACGUACUUCAACGUAGAUGAACCUUGAAAACAUUAUGCUAACUGAAAGAAGCCAUCACAUGAGGCCAGGUAUUGCUUAAUCUCAUUUGUAUGAAGUGUUCAGAAUAAGCAAAUUCAUAGAGACAGAAGGCAAACUGGUGGUUGCCGGGAGUUAGGCGUGGGAGGGAAUGGGGAGUGACUUCUUCUUGGGUUUCUAUUUGGAUGAUGAAAAGUUCUGGAACUAGACAGUGAUGAUGGACACAAUGCACAACAUUGUGAAUGGACUUAGUACCACUGUAUUUACGCUUUAAAAGGGUCAAUUCUGUGUUACGUGUAUUUUACCGCAAUAAAAAAUAAAAAGAGUGAA